rnacentral:rRNA from 1 species
UACAGAGGUCUCAAGCGUUUGUUCGGAUUCAUUGGGCGUAAGGGUGCGUAGGCGGCGCGGUAAGUCGGGUGUGAAAUCUUGGAGCUUAACUCCGAAACUGCAUUCGAUACUGCCGUGCUUGAGGACUGGAGAGGAGACUGGAAUUUACGGUGUAGCGGUGAAAUGCGUAGAUAUCGUAAGGAAGACCAGUGGCGAAGGCGGGUCUCUGGACAGUUCCUGACGCUGAGGCACGAAGGUCAGGGGGAGCAAACGGGG